GACGAACGCUGGCGGCGUGCUUAACACAUGCAAGUCGAACGGAAAGGCCCUGCUUUUGUGGGGUGCUCGAGUGGCGAACGGGUGAGUAACACGUGAGUAACCUGCCCUUGACUUUGGGAUAACUUCAGGAAACUGGGGCUAAUACCGGAUAGGAGCUCCUGCUGCAUGGUGGGGGUUGAAAAGUUUCGGCGGUUGGGGAUGGACUCGCGGCUUAUCAGCUUGUUGGUGGGGUAGUGGCUUACCAAGGCUUUGCCGGGUAGCCGGCCUGAGAGGGUGACCGGACACAUUGGGACUGAGAUACGGCACAGACUCCUACGGGAGGCAGCAGUGGGGAAUAUUGCACAAUGGGCGGAAGCCUGAUGCAGCAACGCCGCGUGCGGGAUGACGGCCUUCGGGUUGUAAACCGCUUUCGCCUGUGACGAAGCGUGAGUGACGGUAAUGGGUAAAGAAGCACCGGCUAACUACGUG
rnacentral:rRNA from 1 species